UUUGUUUAUUAUCGGACGCGGGCUGCAACCCGCCAAAAAAAAAAAGGUUUUAUGGGGGUGUCCCUGGGUGGCGGGGCAACCCCGCCCCCAAGAAAAACAAACAAAGUGGCGCAAAAGGACAAAGGGGAAAAUAAAAAAAUCCCAGCCGAAGCCUUUCCAUAUUGUAUUUUGGGAAAAUAUCCUCUCCCCCCCCGUUAAAACCAUACGCAAAGAAUUCAAACCCGCAAAACCCCAACCCUAAACGCGUGGGCCCAGGGUAAAAAAAUUUCCCCCUAUAAAAAAUAUAACAAACCCUCUUUUUUCCCAUUGGCGAGUUUCGCCCACCCCCAGGGCCCCCACCAAUAAACCGUUUUUUUAAGCCGAUGGCUUUAAGGUUAGUUUUAGAAAAGGAAAAUCAUUAACACCUUCCACAACGGAUCUCUUGGUUCAGGCCACGAAGAAGGACGCAGCGAAAUGCGAUACGUAGUGUGAAUUGCAGAAUUCAGUGAAUCAUCGAAUCUUUGAACGCACAUUGCGCCCUUUGGUAUUCCAAAGGGCAUGCCUGUUCGAGAAUCGUUUGUACCCUCAAGCUUUGCUUGGUGUUGGGCGUCUUUUUGUCUUUGGCUCGCCCAGAGACUCGCCUUAAAACGAUUGGCAGCCGGCCUCCUGGUUUCGCAGCGCAGCACAUUCCCGCUCUUGCAAUCAGCAUAUAGAGGUUGGCAAUCCAUCAAGACUUUUUUUUACCUUGACUCGAUCAGUAGUUAACAACC
rnacentral:rRNA from 1 species